rnacentral:tRNA from 1 species
GGCGACGUAGCUCAGCGGUAGAGCAGGGGACUCAUAAGCCCUUGGUCACUAGUUCGAAUCUAGUCGUCGCCA